rnacentral:rRNA from 1 species
GACGAACGCUGGCGGCGUGCUUAACACAUGCAAGUCGAACGGUGAACCAGAGCUUGCUCUGGGGAUCAGUGGCGAACGGGUGAGUAACACGUGGGCAACCUGCCCCAGACUCUGGGAUAACCUCGGGAAACCGAUGCUAAUACCGGAUACGACCACUUCGGACAUCCGACGGUGGUGGAAAGUUUUUCGGUCUGGGAUGGGCCCGCGGCCUAUCAGCUAGUUGGUGGGGUAAUGGCCUACCAAGGCGACGACGGGUAGCCGGCCUGAGAGGGCGACCGGCCACACUGGAACUGAGACACGGUCCAGACUCCUACGGGAGGCAGCAGUGGGGAAUAUUGCACAAUGGGCGAAAGCCUGAUGCAGCGACGCCGCGUGAGGGACGACGGCCUUCGGGUUGGUAAACCUCUUUCAGCAGGACGAAGCGAAAGUGACUGUACCUGCAGAAGAAGCACCGGCUAACUACGUGCCAGCAGCCGCGGUAAU